UAUUACUUCAUUCGUAAAGAUUCUCCUUAGUAAAUUCUUUGGUUAUGUUGUGGACUUUCUUUUUCUCGUACUUUUUUAGGAUUUCUCCCCAUGUAGGGAUGGGUAGUAGAAUACGUUUCCCUACCGCAGCCAGAAGCGUGACGUAAGAGGCGUCUAACUGUGCAAACCAGUUCCUAAGUUCAGAAAAGGGACUAUUCUAGUUUAGAAGUCCUUUUCCAUUUCUCUCUUAACUUUUGUUGUAAUUUAGCUUAUCUCGCCGCAUGAUAACUCUAAAAAUUCCUAAUUUAUUCGUUCAAGUAAAAUGUAGUUAUUAAAAUUAUAAAAUUAGAUGGCCGAUCGGUUUAGUAUAAAUUUAGCAUAAGUAUAUUUCCCGGAUUUGACUUUUACCUCCCCUCAUUGGAUCCCUGAGGAAGGACUCGGACUUUACUCUCACCACUUCCUCAGCGAAGUUGGUCAUUUAAAAGGCUACACUAUUUAGUGCUAGUUCCUUUCCUUCCAUUGUGUAAGGAAAGCUGGUGGUGGUGUGCCAGUCACAAUUGGUUUAUUUGAGUUGUCUCAGUACACUCAUCACAUUUUAUUUCAUUUCCUUCCAUUGUGUAAGGAAAGCUGGUGGUGGUGUGCCAGUCACAAUUGGUUUAUUUGAGUUGUCUCAGUACACUCAUUACAUUUUAUUUCAUUUCCUUCCAUUGUGUAAGGAAAGCUGGUGGUGGUGUGCCAGUCACAAUUGGUUUAUUUGAGUUGUCUCAGUACACUCAUCACAUUUUAUUUCAUUUCCUUCCAUUGUGUAAGGAAAGCUGGUGGUGGUGUGCCAGUCACAAUUGGUUUAUUUGAGUUGUCUCAGUACACUCAUUCCAUUUCCUUUCUUUUUCGAUAGUCAGUGGUGACAGUACCUAACUGCACUCUAAAUUCCCUUUUAUUUCCAAAUUAGUCAGCGGCGAUGGUGCCUAGCUGCACUACCCCCUUUGUUAGUUAAUAACAAAUUCUUCUUUAACUGUAGGUUAAUUUGGCAUGUAAAGUGAAACUAGUCAGCGGCGUGGGUGCCUAACUGUACUAAUCAUCUCCUCGUUUUGUAUUACCUUAAGUCUCUAAUUAAAUUAAAAUAGUUCAGCACGUCAGCUUAGCAUAAGACAGUGGCAGAGGUGCCUAACUGUAUUAUAAUUCCCUUAACUUAGUAUACUAUAAAUUUUGUUUCUUCAUAAAUAAUAAAAUUUAGUGGUAACCUCGUUUUCGCAUGUUAGUAAUUCCAGACAGUGGCUUUGGGGCUCAACUGUCUCUAAUUGUUAGUUAACUUAAUGCAUUGCAUCUGCACGAGUAGAGUAUAAUUGAUUGGUUAGUUUUCAUUUUACAUCCCUUAAAUUUAAGUUUGUUUAAUUUCAAUUCUCCUAAAAUCAAUGUAGAAGCGGAAUUGAACUGUUGAUAGGUGGUGCUGAGGCCCGUCGUUUCUCACUCUUUCCCUCUUGUACCGUAGAACCAUUAAUAAUAGCAAGUUUUAAAGUUAGUCACAGGAUUUUCAACUUUAGUUUUUCUAUGUCCUAUAAUUACAAUAAUUACUCUUAUAAGUUUACUCUAGUAUUCCGCCCAAAGUAUUCCUUGAUAAACUCUAAGCUCUGCAGUUCAGUUCUAGUCUAGCGGUUAUUUUUGAGUUAGCUUUUGUUUUCUUCCAUAAAAAAUAGUUCCUAUUUUUUAUUUUUCACAGAAAGGGGGUAAUGUAACGUGUCAAUAAGUCACGUCACAUACUAAACACAUAUUUAAUAAAGUUCUCCAUGAGUUAGCCUACAUUUGUUUAGAUUUAUUUCCAAAUUAGAAAAUAUUCCCAAUUCCUGUUUUAUUUACAACCAUUCGCUUGUCACUUUGACGUUUGACAGCGAACUAUUUGAGUUUCGUUGUCUUUGACAGAUUCGGUAACUUUCAUUCCAAUGCCUUUAAAAUUGUCUCAAACGUUUUCAUAUUUGAUAAAUUCUUCUUUUCGUUUAAAUUUCGCAAGUGGUAGUUUUGUUUUAGGAAAAAUAGAUCCGACAAUAUUUGAUAAUAUAUUUAAUAAUAUAUUCGUCAAAAAUUGUUCAAAAUUUAUUACAAUUUUAGCAUUUUGGUUAGCAAAAAUCAUUCUUAUUUCGGAUCUGGUAACAUUUCUUCUUAUCGAUGGUUCGAUGUGAAUUCCGUCUUGUCAUUUUACUGUCAGCUUUCUCAUUGGAAAACAGAUAAAAUUUUGAUCCGAGAAAAUCAUUGUAAAUUUCCAUUAUUUUGGUGAAAUACCGGCAGUGCUUUGUUCCGGAGGUUUGCUCCGUCCCUCAGGAAUGGAUUAGGGGCGAAAAUAAUGCCGCCACGGCAAACCCCGGCAACCUAAUGAAGGGCUAACGUAAGUUUUUCCUCAAUUUCCACAAUCGUCUUUCGGAAAAUGCGAUUCCUUUUAAAUUUUCCGGUUCGACUUUAGCUGACUCGCGCCAUUUUUCUUUUCCAGAUAAGGGGCGUGUUAGCCCUUAUAACCCUUAUAAUCCUUUUAA